rnacentral:rRNA from 1 species
AUUGAACGCUGGCGGCAUGCUUUACACAUGCAAGUCGAACGGUAACAGGCCGCAAGGUGCUGACGAGUGGCGAACGGGUCAGUAAUGCAUCGGAACGUGCCCAGUCGUGGGGGAUAACGCAGCGAAAGCUGCGCUAAUACCGCAUACGAUCUAUGGAUGAAAGCGGGGGACCGUAAGGCCUCGCGCGAUUGGAGCGGCCGAUGUCAGAUUAGGUAGUUGGUGGGGUAAAGGCUCACCAAGCCGACGAUCUGUAGCUGGUCUGAGAGGACGACCAGCCACCCUGGGACUGAGACACGGCCCAGACUCCUACGGGAGGCAGCAGUGGGGAAUUUUGGACAAUGGGCGCAAGCCUGAUCCAGCAAUGCCGCGUGCAGGAAGAAGGCCUUCGGGUUGUAAACUGCUUUUGUACGGAACGAAACGGUCCUGGCUAAUACCCGGGGCUAAUGACGGUACCGUAAGAAUAAGCACCGGCUAACUACGUGCCAGCCGCCGCGGUAACAC